AUUGAACGCUGGCGGCAGGCCUAACACAUGCAAGUCGAGCGGAUGAAGGGAGCUUGCUCCUGGAUUCAGCGGCGGACGGGUGAGUAAUGCCUAGGAAUCUGCCUGGUAGUGGGGGAUAACGUCCGGAAACGGGCGCUAAUACCGCAUACGUCCUGAGGGAGAAAGUGGGGGAUCUUCGGACCUCACGCUAUCAGAUGAGCCUAGGUCGGAUUAGCUAGUUGGUGGGGUAAAGGCCUACCAAGGCGACGAUCCGUAACUGGUCUGAGAGGAUGAUCAGUCACACUGGAACUGAGACGCGGUCCAGACUCCUACGGGAGGCAGCAGUGGGGAAUAUUGGACAAUGGGCGAAAGCCUGAUCCAGCCAUGCCGCGUGUGUGAAGAAGGUCUUCGGAUUGUAAAGUACUUUAAGUUGGGAGGAAGGGCAGUAAGUUAAUACCUUGCUGUUUUGACGUUACCAACAGAAUAAGCACCGGCUAACUUCGUG
rnacentral:rRNA from 1 species